CCUAUUUCCUUUCCCAAUAAAUAUUACAGUUUUGGCAGAGCAUGCUAGUUUUUCCACCUAUUUUGUCAAGAUUUGAAAAAAUCAGGCCUGCAUACAUUUCAAAAGCCUGUGUGACUGUGAAAAGUAACCAUUUUGAGAGCAGUGCUGAGUGCAACUAAUCUGCCUAGUGAUACCACACCCAAAAGAAACCACUCCUCCUGAAGGGAGGAGGGGACUCUUAAAGGGCCAGACUUAAAAAAUUUUUUCUGUUGCAAAAGGCUUUUCAAGAUACAAGACGGCAAAGAAACUAUUACUUGCCAUGGGUUAUCUAGCCUGGAUUGCAUAUUUCUUGUAUAUGUUUUACAACUUAUUUUUUGUUAUGAUUCCGGAUUAUAUUUAUUUUCUGUUUAGCAUUUAUGAAACAUUGCAAUGGCUGAAUAUAAGUAUGUAUCGCUUGAUUUCAUUCAUUCCCACAUAUGCUGAAGCAUUAUUCUUCAUAACCAAAUUAUACUAUGCCCUAAAAAUAGGUGUGCAUCUAAUUUUUGGGAAAAAAGCAAAAGAUAAUGAAAUGGCUGUGACGAUUUUAGCCAUAAAAGAGGAGAUGAUGCAACUAAAGGAAAUGAUGAAGCAACUGAGUGAAGAGAUACAAUGUGGCAAAGGUAUUAACACACAACAAGACAUACCUAAAAAUAACAGUGUAGUUCAGCAAGAAAAUACAGAUGGUGGAAUACCAAUAUUGCCACUAAGAGAUCAAACAAGCCUACAACCAGAUAACAGCAUAAUUCAUAUUAAAACACAUAAACCAUUUACAACAGCUGACCUUGAAAGUCUGAAAAGACAGAUUCCUUCCUGGUUUUCAGAACCGAUGACAUGUUUAAAAGAAUUUAAAAGAGCAAUUAGGCUUUAUGAUCCAGAUUUCCAGGACACUGAAAUUCUUCUCUCAGAAUUAUUUUCAAAAAGGGAAAAACAACAAUUCAUUGAUGAAACAAGAAGCAAUCCAAAUUUAACAUCAUGGCCAGAGGAAGGAACAGACUUAGAGUUAUCUAAUAAUGAAAAUCUAAGUUACCUAAGAAAGGCCAGAGAAGAUUUAUUAGAGGCAAUGAAAAGUUUUUCAAAAAGACCAGAUACUUGGGGAAAAUUUGAGAAAUUGAGACAGGAAAGUGGGGAACAUCCAUCAAAGUUUCUCGAUAGAGUGAUUGAAGUAGCAGAGGAUGUGCUUGGAUUUGAAAAUUUAACUGAACAAAAUCUCCAACACAUAAGGAGACAAUUUGUGAAAGGCAGUAACACACCUAUUAGAUCAUAUUUUAAACUUCAAUGCCCAGAUUGGGAAACACUAAGUCUGGAAGAUUUAAGAAAAACUGCAACUUACAUAUUUUCAGGUCAUAAAGAAAUGCUAGAGGAAAAGGAUGAAAUAAUAAAAGAGCUUAAAGCCAAGCUCAAGGAGGCAAAUAGCACAAGUAAAUAUAAGGAAAUUGAAGAAAUAAAAAAUCUAGCCACUCUGCAAUCGUAUAAACCCACAAGAAAUUACACACAAAGUAAUCAAAGGAGAAAUUUACCCAGAUGUUUCCUCUGUGGAAAAAUAGGUCACAUGGUUCGAGACUGUUAUUUAAAGGCACAAUUAUUCC
rnacentral:lncRNA from 1 species